rnacentral:rRNA from 1 species
CGGCAGGCCUAACACAUGCAAGUCGAACGGUAACAGGAAGAAUCUUGCUUCUUUGCUGACGAGUGGCGGACGGGUGAGUAAUGUCUGGGAAACUGCCUGAUGGAGGGGGAUAACUACUGGAAACGGUAGCUAAUACCGCAUAACGUCGCAAGACCAAAGAGGGGGACCUUCGGGCCUCUUGCCAUCGGAUGUGCCCAGAUGGGAUUAGCUAGUAGGUGGGGUAAAGGCUCACCUAGGCGACGAUCCCUAGCUGGUCUGAGAGGAUGACCAGCCACACUGGAACUGAGACAUGGUCCAGACUCCUACGGGAGGCAGCAGUGGGGAAUAUUGCACAAUGGGCGCAAGCCUGAUGCAGCCAUGCCGCGUGUAUGAAGAAGGCCUUCGGGUUGUAAAGUACUUUCAGCGGGGAGGAAGGGAGUCAAGUUAAUACCUUUGCUCAUUGACGUUACCCGCAGAAGAAGCACCGGCUAACUCCGUGCCAGCAGCCGCGGUAAUACGGAGGGUGCAAGCGUUAAUCGGAAUUACUGGCCGUAAAGCGCCCGCGGGCGGUCUGUUAAUUCAGAUGUGAAAUCCCCGGGCUCAACCUGGGAACCUGCAUCUGAUACUGGCAAGCCUGAGUCUUGUAGAGGGGGGUAGAAUUUCAGGUGUAGCGGUGAAAUGCGUAGAGAUCUGGAGGAAUACCGGUGGCGAAGGCGGCCCCCUGGACGAAGACUGACGCUCAGGUGCGAAAGCGUGGGGAGCAAACAGGAUUAGAUACCCUGGUAGUCCACGCCGUAAACGAUGUCGACUUGGAGGUUGUGCCCUUGAGGCGUGGCUUCCGGAGCUAACGCGUUAAGUCGACCGCCUGGGGAGUACGGCCGCAAGGUUAAAACUCAAAUGAAUUGACGGGGGCCCGCACAAGCGGUGGAGCAUGUGGUUUAAUUCGAUGCAACGCGAAGAACCUUACCUGGUCUUGACAUCCACAGAACCUUGUAGAGAUACGAGGGUGCCUUCGGGAACUGUGAGACAGGUGCUGCAUGGCUGUCGUCAGCUCGUGUUGUGAAAUGUUGGGUUAAGUCCCGCAACGAGCGCAACCCUUAUCCUUUGUUGCCAGCGGUCCGGCCGGGAACUCAAAGGAGACUGCCAGUGAUAAACUGGAGGAAGGUGGGGAUGACGUCAAGUCAUCAUGGCCCUUACGACCAGGGCUACACACGUGCUACAAUGGCGCAUACAAAGAGAAGCGACCUCGCGAGAGCAAGCGGACCUCAUAAAGUGCGUCGUAGUCCGGAUUGGAGUCUGCAACUCGACUCCAUGAAGUCGGAAUCGCUAGUAAUCGUGGAUCAGAAUGCCACGGUGAAUACGUUCCCGGGCCUUGUACACACCGCCCGUCACACCAUGGGAGUGGGUUGCAAAAGAAGUAGGUAGCUUAACCUUCGGGAGGGCGCUUACCACUUUGUGAUUCAUGACUGGGGU